CCUACGGGUGGCAGCAGUGGGGAAUAUUGGGCAAUGGGCGCAAGCCUGACCCAGCAACGCCGCGUGAAGGAAGAAGGUUCUCGGGUUGUAAACUUCUUUUUUCAGGGACGCAGCAAGUGACGGUUCCUGCGGAAUAAGCCUCGGCUAACUACGUGCCAGCAGCCGCUGCAUUACGUAGGUGGCAAGCGUUCUCCGGAUUUACUGGGUGUAAAGGGUGUGUAGGCGGGACUGCAAGUCAGAUGUGAAAACCAUGGGCGCAACCUAUGGCCUGCAGUUGAAACUGUAGUUCUUGAGUACUGGAGAGGCAGACGGAAUUCGUGGUGUAGCGGUGAAAUGCAUAGAUAUGAGGAGGAACACCAGUGGCGAAGGCGGUCUGCUGGACAGCAACUGACGCUGAGGCACGAAAGCGUGGGGAGCAAACAGGAUUAGAUACCCUUGUAGUC
rnacentral:rRNA from 1 species